rnacentral:rRNA from 1 species
AACGAACGCUGGCGGCAGGCUUAACACAUGCAAGUCGAGCGCCCCGCAAGGGGAGCGGCAGACGGGUGAGUAACGCGUGGGAAUCUACCCAUCUCUACGGAAUAACGCAUGGAAACGUGUGCUAAUACCGUAUACGUCCUUCGGGAGAAAGAUUUAUCGGAGAUGGAUGAGCCCGCGUUGGAUUAGCUAGUUGGUGGGGUAAAGGCCUACCAAGGCGACGAUCCAUAGCUGGUCUGAGAGGAUGAUCAGCCACACUGGGACUGAGACACGGCCCAGACUCCUACGGGAGGCAGCAGUGGGGAAUAUUGGACAAUGGGCGCAAGCCUGAUCCAGCCAUGCCGCGUGAGUGAUGAAGGCCUUAGGGUUGUAAAGCUCUUUCGCCGACGAAGAUAAUGACGGUAGUCGGAGAAGAAGCCCCGGCUAACUUCGUGCCAGCAGCCGCCGUAAAAC